AAAAAAAAAUGAAAACCAAUGAUUGCUUCCUUGGUGCAAAGUAAAACGAAAUUCUCACUGUUAAUUAGACAUUUACGGGAAAUCUCAAGAGCUAGUUAAGUGAAUUCUUUCUCACAUGGAACACAUAAAACAUUUUAAUGUUUUUGCGAGAAGCGAUAGGGCCCCCUACCGUCUGGUUUUAGCAAAGGUGAUCGAUCGUUCCAGGGAACCAUGUGCUUUUGAGUCAAGAGCUACUUACAUAUGGCUCUUUUCUCUCCAGGAGAACGUUUGUAACCGUGCUGUCCCCACAAUCCCACAAUGACCACAGUGCAGAAUUUGUUCCUCUGGAAUGUGUUAGGUUCCAGGUGGCCCAGCAGAGGGACACGUCUCAUUCUAGGACGACAUGAUGAGCGUGUAGUCACAUGGGCUACCUGCCAGUCCUCGCCGGGUCACCGGAGAAGGGACCUGGGGCCGGAACCGUUCAGACAGGAGGCCGUGCGAUGGCAGAUGUGAAGAGAGCGCGGGGACCCCCACCGAGGGCCUGUGUCCCAGUCCUGGGAGGACUGUGCUCAGUCAGAAGGUGCGGCCGAUUGCAGGGCAGAGAAACCCCUGUUACGUUCAAGGAGACUUGGAUGCAAUACCGACACUCACCAGACACCGGAGAGCAGGUCACCGGACACGGACCCAGCACCUUCAGGGUUUUACAUGAGCCUUAGAUUCCUGUCCUGGGAGAAUGCAGUGGCAACAGUACAAACCCAUCAGCAGGAUGGAGUACAGCCUGAAAACACUAAAAAGGCCCAAGACCUUGGACUUCCUGUACAGGAUGGGAACACCCUCUGACUGGAAGAGAAAUGUCAGUGCCGUGCUGAGUGUCUGGGGGAAUGAGUGCCUCGGGAAAAUGGCGGCCCGCGUGGUGAAGUUCGACAUCACCGACUAGGGAGCCGAGGGUUUUUCCAGAAAGGUGGCCGACGACACGACGAGUAACAGAUCAACAGGAAACACGCUUCGCUUGUUUCACGUUGUGUACUGAGAACCUUGUUACCAGCACAGGCGCACAGUGGGAAAAUGGAGGUGUUGACUACAAUUUGACGACAACCUCAUCGCCAAGGUUCCAAUAAACUUAUACAUUACCGUUCGACCCACUGAGAAAUAAUUAAUGAUUUUUACCACCAAGGUGUUAUGCUCCCUGUCUUACGUGACAACAACAGUGACCAUGAUUUUCAGGUGCCUGGAUGUCUGUGUACGGAACUGGUCAUCUUCCACUGACCGGUAAGUAGAUGCCCUUUGGACGAGUGACUGAAGGGCCUGGGCGUGGGAUGGGCACAGAAAAUAGAGGACCGUCAAGCCCAACUUCUGUGGUGGUGUAUCGGCCAUGGGUCUCCGGAGAAACGGCGCCGGUAGGGGGGAGGAAGGAGGCUUAUUUUAAGGAUUUGGCUCAUGCAUUUGUGGGCCUGUCAGGUCUAAAACCUGCAGGAUGGACCUGCUCAGCUCCCAGGUGGAGCUGAGGCCGGUGGGAGGGAAACUCUUGUUGGCCUCUCUCUUUUUCUCUUAAGACCUUGAACCGAUCGGAUGCGGUCCAACCACAUCUGGGCGGAUCGUCUGCUUUGCUCAAAGGCUGCCGAUUAAAAUGCUGGUCACGUCUAAAAACUAGCUUCACAGAAACGUCUUGGCUGGUGUUUGACCGAGUAUCUGGGCAGCGUGGCCACGUGAACCCAGAGUGUUGACCUCACGCUAAUGCGCACAGCGGUGAGAUGAGACCUCCCCCGGCUCCUUGUGGCCGGCAGCCCGGCGCCCUGGCAGGACGUGGUGCCAGGAGGAGGGUGGCCAGGGUGGCGGAGCGCCGAGCGCCGAGUGCGGGAUGCGUGUGCCUCCAGACGUGUGUUACUUAAUCCUCAGGGCAGCUCUCCCAGGGAGACUCCUCUUAGACGGGUUCGGUGAGCUGUCGGGGGUCGUGACGCUAAGUAGGAGAGCUGGGAGGACGCCUGUCCGUGUCCCUGGGGCGUCCUGGGCGCUGUGACAUGGCCUGCGGGUCACGUGCAGGGGCAGCCCGGCAGCGAGAGCGUGUAACCCCCACCUGUGCACCUUGCCGUUCUCAGAAACUGCAGGAGGGGCCGGGGGACCUCCACGUGGCCCGUGAACCCAGUUCCAGGUGCACACCGGGCCUGGGCCUCCACACCACAUGCCCUGCCCGGUCACCUGGUGGGAGACAGCCUCGUGCCAGGACGUGCCCCGUGCUCCCUGCUGCGGCCCCAGCUGGGACAGCACGAUGACGCUUCUUCGAGUGGGAAGAGUCAGAAGACAGGGCUUGGUCAACACUGACGGACACUCACCACUUCCACACGAGGAGGGAGCCAUAGAACCAUCCCGGGUUCCAGGUGUGCACGGCGGCCGAGGACACCUGAAGGAGCACAGGUCAGCCCUUCCUGCAGGAAGGACAGUCUCUGCACCCACAUGAGCCCCGCACGGCCACCAUGGGGGAGAGGAUCCACUGUGGGGCCCCGGGGCCUGGGGCCCGAGUCAGAGACAAGGUCCUGGGGCCACCUGCCUUCUGUGCCCUCGACCGGCCCCACGCAGGGUGCUCAGGGGCCGCUGCCCAUCCCUGCUGACGGGUCGGAGGGCUCCGGGCCCGGCGCCAGGCCAGCUUUUACGCAUCCCACCAGGAGCCAACCAGAGCCCGGAGCCCAGCUCUGCGAGAUUUCAGAAACCGAGCCCUUGACCUCCACGCCGGCCCUCUCCCUGCUCCACUUAAUUGUGUCUUCAGAUAUUUUCAGAAAUGGGUGGUCAGAGCUUUUCCUCAGAGAUGCGUGGGCAGAGUAUUUGGCCAAAGUGCAGUAUUAAGCGACUAGAAUAGAAAAGUUCUUACAGAGCUCUGCCCUUCUCGGGCGGGCUUGUCCCUCCUCUCAGCGAAUUCACACCCACGUCGUGACAAGAUGGGAGAGAUGUUUUUCAGCGAGCCAAGCCAUAGGAAAUAAGGACGACGGAAACAUAUGUCUGUCCAGCACAUUUACAUCACAGAAGCCACAUGGACCACUGCUGUCCCGGGGAGCAGCCGCAGCUGACAGUGAUGUAGAGCUGACCCACUGCCCAGGAACCAGGGGGUCCUGGGUCAUUUGCUACGUGAAGAGAAGUCGUGAGUCACUGAGGACUAUCGGUCUCCCCAGGAACUGCGUGCGAAGUGCCCAGUACCUGUCUGCACACACACACACACACACACACACACACACACACACACAGUUGCCCUCCCUCCGUGUGCAGCCCUGCUCUUGGCAGGUCCAGCAGGAAACGAAGGAGGUAAUAAGCAUCCCACCCCCCACACACCAAAGGGGAGAAAUGAUCGAGAAGGAGGCAUGUAAUUGUCUCACUAUUUGUAUUGAUUUCUAAUUCUCUUUCUGAUUUCCAGAACAUCUCAUGUGUGAGCCGAUCCAUCCUGCAGAGUGGUAAUGACACGUCAUGUGACAUGACAAAUGGGGGCAUGGUGGCCGCAGGCACUGAAUGAGGACCCCCCCCCCAGUUCACUCUCGGCACCUUUAUGUCCCUUAAGCAUUUGCCUCUUCCCAAAAGGUGCGGCCUUACCCAGAGCCACCUCUCCCCGCAGGAGUCGGACCUCUGUGUGAGCAGACUGUCACUGUGAUGGCAGGUGGACACCCAGCCAUCAGCCGAAGGCCGCUGGCCGUCCAAGAAAUGGCCUCAGAAAGACCAGGGAGCAAAGCCACGGGCACAAUCUGGGUUUCUGUCACCAGCAGAGAAAUUGCACAUGAGAACAAUUUUAGGCU